rnacentral:rRNA from 1 species
CCCUUAGACGUUCUGGGCCGCACGCGCGCUACACUGACCAGUGCAACAAGCAUCCGUCCUUGGCCGACAGGCCCGGGCAAUCUUUGAACGCUGUUCGUGAUUGGGAUAGACCUUUGCAAUUAUGGGUCUUCAACGAGGAAUUCCUAGUAAACGCAAGUCAUCAGCUUGCAUUGAUUACGUCCCUGCCCUUUGUACACACCGCCCGUCGCACCUACCGAUUGAAUGGUCCGGUGAAAUCUCGGGACGGCGGCUUGGUCGCUUGCGUCCGACUGCUGAAACUUGAUUAAACCAUAUCAUUUAGAGGAAGGUGAANUCGUANCA